UAUGUCGACGAUGUUGUGGCUAUC
rnacentral:siRNA from 1 species